GCAAUAGAUGUCAGCUCGGUUACUAUGGGGACAGGUGUGGAACAUAUUGUGAUGCUGACUGUAUCGGGUGCCUGGAGGCCAAGGGAGGAUGUAGAUGUAGGAGGGUGUGCACUCAAUCCUGUCUGCAUCACAAGCUACCCGACACGACAUGUCUCCAUGUAACGCAGAAGGAAAGGCACACAGAUGCCAACAUCCACGAAAUGACAUCGAGGAAUGGAUCCAGCUUGUGUAGAUUUACCUUAUCACCCUUCAUAUAUCUAGCCAUCGUGUUGACGUUGUCACCCACCGCUGGUGUCAUCUGUUCUUUCAUUGCACUGUAAAUAUUCAUAUGUCAUUUGUGCUGUUGUGUAUGGAAGGACUACUGUUAUAUGACGUGUGUUUCCUAAUCUGUAGCUCAUCAAACAAUUUGAACCUAUUACACUCUUAGCAUAAGUAAAAAAUACAACCAUAUAAAUGUGACAAAGAUAUGAACAUGGAGAAAUUAUAUCCAGAUAAAUUAAAUUUUCAUGUACAAGUAUUAUUGAUAAUCACUGCCAUUAUUACUUUCCCUCACACUAUUUUAUUGUUUUGUACUAAACGUUUUAAUUGUUUUGUUGUACUGUGUUUGUACUAAGGACAAGUAACAAGGGAGUGAGUCAGUUCGGCUUGCGGUCACAUCUGCAGCUGUAUAGCGAGGAACAAACAACGUAAUAGAUAAUGUUUUCAGGACUCCUUCCGCGUUGUAGUGUCGCUCAGUGUAUGUGUGUGUUUGUGUUUGUGUGUAUCUUGUAUUGAAUGUACACCGAUAUAUAUAAAUAUAUUUGACAAGAAUAUAAAAUAAUAAUCACAUAAAGUUCACAGGAAUUGUCAACUACAACAAAGGGAAAAAAGUCCCGUUACAUUAAAGACGUUCUGAGCAUUAUAAGAAGUAGCAUAAAAAGCCUCCCUUGGACCUGGUAAGUCUGUGAAGGUAUCCUCGCUUGUCAGUCAAGGCAACGUGUGUGUUGAAUCUGGGAUGAUCUUAUAUUUGUGUUGCUGAGCGGUGACUGCAGUCGGAAGCCAUAAGUAAUGAGAUUUCACAUAAUGUGAACUAAAUGUACAGGUUACACUCGAGGUAACGUCCUCUGAAAGUACAUGUGUUGUCAGUUAACAAGUGUUUGAGAGAGGGCUAGGACAUGAACAUGUAUGUUUCAGUUUGAAUACUGUUGUGGAUACUGUGGAAUAUACUGCUCACAAAAAGUAGGGGAUAUUGAAAAGUUGAGACAAAUAAAAGCAAACGUAUGUUUAAUUGUCA